GACGUAGGGCGCGAGCGUUGUCCGGAUUUAUUGGGCGUAAAGAGCUCGUAGGCGGCUUGUUGCGUCGUCCGUGAAAACCCGUGGCUUAACUGCGGGCUUGCGGUCGAUACGGGCGGGCUGGAGUUCGGUAGGGGAGACUGGAAUUCCUGGUGUAGCGGUGAAAUGCGCAGAUAUCAGGAGGAACACCAGUGGCGAAGGCGGCGCUCUGGGCCGGAACUGACGCUGAGGAGCGAAAGCGUGGGUAGCAAACAGG
rnacentral:rRNA from 1 species